AGAACGAACGCUGGCGGCAUGCCUAACACAUGCAAGUCGAACGAGACCUUCGGGUCUAGUGGCGCACGGGUGCGUAACGCGUGGGAAUCUGCCCUUCGGUUCGGAACAACAGUUAGAAAUGACUGCUAAUACCGGAUAAUGACGUAAGUCCAAAGAUUUAUCGCCGAAGGAUGAGCCCGCGUAAGAUUAGGUAGUUGGUGGGGUAAUGGCCUACCAAGCCGACGAUCUUUAGCUGGUCUGAGAGGAUGAUCAGCCACACUGGGACUGAGACACGGCCCAGACUCCUACGGGAGGCAGCAGUGGGGAAUAUUGGACAAUGGGCGAAAGCCUGAUCCAGCAAUGCCGCGUGAGUGAUGAAGGCCUUAGGGUUGUAAAGCUCUUUACCAGGGAUGAUAAUGACAGUACCUGGAGAAUAAGCUCCGGCUAACUCCGUG
rnacentral:rRNA from 1 species